UCCGAUUAGACAGUUCAGAGAGAGUUGCUGGUUACCGCACAUGCUUGCUACAGUGGUCGAGUUUCACAUGACAAGGCCAGCUACAAAUCCAGCGGGGAUGGCUGGCCAGGAUGUGACGGACAGCCUUGCUCUUACGAUGUCAAAUCAAGGACACAGAGCUGUCCACCACGAUGUCGUUGCAUCAUAAACGAAACCACUAGCAGCUAUCAGAGGGGCUUCUGUUGGACAUGAGCGUUCAAGCACUCUGC